CCUACGGGCGGCUGCAGUAGGGAAUAUUGGGCAAUGGGCGAGAGCCUGACCCAGCCAUGCCGCGUGCAGGAAGACGGCCUAUUGGGUUGUAAACUGCUUUUAUCUGGGAAGAAAAGGCCCAUGCGUGGGACAUUGCCGGUACCAGAUGAAUAAGCACCGGCUAACUCCGUGCCAGCAGCCGCGGUAAUACGGAGGGUGCAAGCGUUGUCCGGAUUUAUUGGGUUUAAAGGGUGCGUAGGCGGCUGAUUAAGUCAGCGGUGAAAGACUCCGGCUUAACCGGGGCAGUGCCGUUGAUACUGGUCAGCUUGAGUGCUGCAGGGGUACAUGGAAUUGAUGGUGUAGCGGUGAAAUGCAUAGAUACCAUCAGGAACACCGAUAGCGAAGGCAUUGUACUGGGCAGCAACUGACGCUGAUGCACGAAAGCAUGGGUAGCGAACAGGAUUAGAUACCCCGGUAGUC
rnacentral:rRNA from 1 species